UACGGAGGGGGCGAGCGUUAUUCGGAGUUAUUGGGCGUAAAGGGCGCGUAGGCGGCUUGAUGUGUCAAAGGUGAAAUCCCUCGGCUCAACUGAGGAACUGCCUUUGAAACUGUCUGGCUUGAGGCCGGGAGAGGGUAGCGGAAUUCCCAGUGUAGCGGUGAAAUGCGUAGAUACUGGGAGGAACACCGGUGGCGAAGGCGGCUACCUGGACCGGUUCUGACGCUGAUGCGCGAAAGCGUGGGUAGCAAACAGG
rnacentral:rRNA from 1 species